UACAGUUUGAUCCUGGCUCACAUUGAACGCUGGCGGCAUGCUUUACACAUGCAAGUCGAACGGCAGCGGGGGCUUCGGCCUGCCGGCGUAGUGGCGAACGGGUGAGUAAUGCAUCGGAACGUGCCCAUGUCGUGGGGGAUAACGUAGCGAAAGCUACGCUAAUACCGCAUACGCCCUGAGGGGGAAAGCGGGGGAUUCUUCGGAACCUCGUGCGAUUGGAGCGGCCGAUGUCGGAUUAGCUAGUAGGUGAGGUAAAGGCUCACCUAGGCGACGAUCCGUAGCGGGUCUGAGAGGAUGAUCCGCCACACUGGGACUGAGACACGGCCCAGACUCCUACGGGAGGCAGCAGUGGGGAAUUUUGGACAAUGGGCGCAAGCCUGAUCCAGCCAUGCCGCGUGAGUGAAGAAGGCCUUCGGGUUGUAAAGCUCUUUCGGCCGGGAAGAAAUCGUGUUCUCUAACAUAGGACAUGGAUGACGGUACCGGACUAAGAAGCACCGGCUAACUACGUGCCAGCAGCCGCGGUAAUACGUAGGGUGCGAGCGUUAAUCGGAAUUACUGGGCGUAAAGCGUGCGCAGGCGGUUUUGUAAGACAGAUGUGAAAUCCCCGGGCUUAACCUGGGAACUGCGUUUGUGACUG
rnacentral:rRNA from 1 species